UUGCUUCAGCGGCACAUAUACUAAAAUUGGAAUGAUACAGAGAAGAUCAGCAUGGCCCCUGCACAAGAAUGACACGCAAAUUCGUGAAGCAUUCUAUAUUUUA
rnacentral:snRNA from 1 species